rnacentral:tRNA from 1 species
GCCUGGGUGGCUCAGUCAGUUGAGCAUCUGACUUCGGCUCAGGUCAUGAUCCCGCGGCUCGUGGGUUCGAGCCCUACAUCAGGCU